rnacentral:rRNA from 1 species
GACGAACGCUGGCGGCGUGCUUAACACAUGCAAGUCGAACGGAAAGGCCCUGCUUUUGUGGGGUGCUCGAGUGGCGAACGGGUGAGUAACACGUGAGUAACCUGCCCUUGACUUUGGGAUAACUUCAGGAAACUGGGGCUAAUACCGGAUAGGAGCUCCUGCUGCAUGGUGGGGGUUGGAAAGUUUCGGCGGUUGGGGAUGGACUCGCGGCUUAUCAGCUUGUUGGUGGGGUAGUGGCUUACCAAGGCUUUGACGGGUAGCCGGCCUGAGAGGGUGACCGGCCACAUUGGGACUGAGAUACAGCCCAGACUCCUACGGGAGGCAGCAGUGGGGAAUAUUGCACAAUGGGCGGAAGCCUGAUGCAGCAACGCCGCGUGCGGGAUGACGGCCUUCGGGUUGUAAACCGCUUUCGCCUGUGAGGAAGCGUGAGUGACGGUAAUGGGUAAAGAAGCACCGGCUAACUACGUG